CCUACGGGUGGCAGCAGUGAGGAAUAUUGGUCAAUGGCCGGAAGGCUGAACCAGCCAAGCCGCGUGAGGGAGGAAGGCGCAGAGCGUCGCAGACCUCUUUUGCCGGGGGACAAAAGGCCGGACUCGUCCGGUCCUGAGGGUACCCUGAGAAAAAGCAUCGGCUAACUCCGUGCCAGCAGCCGCGGUAAUACGGGGGAUGCGAGCUUUAUCCGGAUUCAUUGGGUUUAAAGGGUGCGCGGGCGGGCCUUUAAGCCGGCGGUGAAAUCGCGGGGCAAACCCCCGCAGAGCCGGCGGAACUGGGGGCCUUGAGUGCGGGGGAGGAGUGCGGAAUGCGAGGUGUAGCGGUGAAAUACAUAGAUAUCGCGCAGAACCCCGAUUGCGAAGGCAGCGUGCCGUGCCGCCACUGACGCUGAGGCACGAAAGCGCGGGGAUCGAACAGGAUUAGAUACCCGAGUAGUC
rnacentral:rRNA from 1 species